GAUGAACGCUGGCGGCGUGCUUAACACAUGCAAGUCGAACGGUGAACGAGGGAGCUUGCUCCCUCCGGAUCAGUGGCGAACGGGUGAGUAACACGUGAGCAAUCUGCCCUGGACUCUGGGAUAAGCGUUGGAAACGACGUCUAAUACCGGAUACGAGACGUGGGGGCAUCCCCAACGCCUGGAAAGAACUUCGGUCCAGGAUGAGCUCGCGGCCUAUCAGCUAGUUGGUGAGGUAACGGCUCACCAAGGCGACGACGGGUAGCCGGCUUGAGAGGGUGACCGGCCACACUGGGACUGAGACACGGCCCAGACUCCUACGGGAGGCAGCAGUGGGGAAUAUUGCACAAUGGGCGCAAGCCUGAUGCAGCAACGCCGCGUGAGGGACGACGGCCUUCGGGUUGUAAACCUCUUUUAGCAGGGAAGAAGCGAAAGUGACGGUACCUGCAGAAAAAGCACCGGCUAACUACGUGCCAGCAGCCGCAGUAA
rnacentral:rRNA from 1 species